rnacentral:lncRNA from 1 species
CUGCCAGCGUGGAAAACCGGCCACGUGCAGGUCUGGGGCUGGGCACACACAGGGUCACACCCAGGAAGGGAUAAGCUAUGCAUUUCUAUUGAUAGAGUGGGCAGGGACCACAGGAAUUUAGAAAAUAUUAGGGCCAAGUUUACUGGGGAAAAUGUACAGGCCAGCAGAUAGCAUGGAAAAGUCCCCUCCCUGAGGAAGGGAAGCAUCUCAGAGGAGGUAAGAGACUGCUCCCAGGGCUGUGGUUAGAGCCUCCCCAACCGCAGCACGAUGCCCUUUGUCCCAUCUUCAGCAGGAGGGGCUGCUCUCCAUGGAGAUGAGGCUGACAGGGUCAGCGGAGUAGCCUGUGACAGGCAGGUUUUAAUAAGUUCAUUUUCAGCCAACCCCUGAAAUGGGUUAUUUUUGUUCCAUGGGAAUGCUCUACAUCUUCUGAAAGAUGGCACCUGGGACCCAGCCCAUGGCCUUCCUGGGGUAGGAUGUGCUGGAGAAGGAUUCUGUGGACCUGACAGAGAAGACAGAAGCCAGAGAGUAGACACCCGGAAAGAAAGAGGGAAAAGUGUGGUGGGAAGGACAGAGGGGACCCGAAGUUCCCCACGCCAGGGAAAUGACAGGGGGUUGCCAGUCUGUUUCUGAUGGUUGAGCAGUCAGGGGCCCAGAGACGCAGGAAACCCAAAAUCCUUGGUCCACCACGGGGCUGUCCUCAGGGUCUGGAGAGCAGGCCCCAUACUCCAGGCCCCCAUCCUCCAGGCCCUCGUCCCCCAGGCUCCAUCCUCCAGGCCCCCAUUCUCCAGGGCUCCAUCCUCUAGGCCCCUGUCCUCCAGGCCCCCAUCCUCUAGGCCCUCAUCCUCCAGGCUCCAUCCUCCAGGCUCCAUCCUCCAGGUUUCAUCCUUCAGGCCAUCAUCCUCCAGGCCCCCGUCCUCCAGGCCCCCAUCCUCCAGGCCCCAUCCUCCAGGCCCCCAUCUUUCAGGCCCCUGUCCUCCAGGCUCUUGUCCUCCAGGCCCUCAUCCUCCAGGCCCCUGCUCCUCCAGACCCUCAUCCUCCAGACCCUCAUCCUCCAGGCCCCCAUCUUUCAGGCCCCUGUCCUCCAGGCCCUCUUCCUCCAGACCCUCGUCCUCCAGGCCCCUGUUCCUCCAGACCCUCGUCCUCCAGACCCUCAUUCUCCAGGCCCCCGUCCUCCAGGCUCCAUCCUCCAGGGCUCCUCUGGGUCCGGGUCAAGUACCUCCAGGCUCUCUGCUGACUGUUCACCACUGGGCAACCACAGGGACUCGAUCCAUGAAAACUCUGGCAAGGUCAGUUUCCUUGUUCUACAUCCCUGUCACUUUAGUCACCAUCAUGAUAUAAGUGACUGAGUCAUUGUUUUCUCUCAUAUUCCCACCCACCUCUCCUCUCUGCUUCCUCCCCAUCAACUCGACUUCCCACCGCUCACUGCAGCCCCUUCAGGAUUCCUGCUGCGACCACCUGACCCAUGCAAAAGAGACCACUUCUCAGCCUCUCUCACUCUCCUGGCCCUGGCGGAAGCCUGUGUUGUCAUAGGCAUGCUUCCCUGGAAUCCUGCUCAGGCCCCCACGCAGGGACACUGAGUGCCCACAGAGUUGGGAAACCAUUACACGAGAUGGGACGUCUGCAAUAGAGUGGCAUCGCUAGUUGAAAGUGGAGCUGUUCACAACCUCCACAACUGUACUUGGUGGCCACGUCCCCAUCACAUGGGCUCAGACUGGGGGCUGGACAUUGACUUUGAGCCCCAAGUCUUCACCCUCAUGCAAAAACCAUCCUCCUUGGAGAUGCAGGCUGGGAAGGGCGCCAUGUCCGGAGUCCCUGCCCUGCUGUCAUCUGCCGACCUUUGUGCAGCCUGUCCCUUUCGUUAAGAAUUUCAGCACUGAGUUCACUGUGUUCCUUGUCAUGCUAAGACUUGGCCACAUCCCAGCCAUCUUCAACAUGGCGGUCGAUGUUUCAUCAAAAUUCACAGUCGCUCAGAUUUUAUUUUUCCUCAUCUCUAGGAACUUCCAUCUCCACUCCACUUCUGCCACUUCUGCCACCCUCCCAUGACCACACUCAGAACUUGAGCUCCACCUCUGAAAGAGGCAGAAUUGCCUUAUCUCACACAGUGGUGACAGCACUCUGUAAUAAUCUGCAUGGGCCAGGGCUCCUUGGUUGCAGGUAACAGAUACCACUGUUACGGCCCAACUCUGUUCUUCUAUGUUGAAGCCGGAACCCCCAGCGCCUCAGAAUGGGAUCACAUCUGGAGAAGGCGCCUUUAAAGAGAGUGCAAGUUAGGUAAGAAAGAACGGAUGGUGGACAGCCAGGAAACAGUCAGCUACGAGAUGUUGUGUGGAAAGCCCACCUUUCUGACACUGGAGAACUGUGGGAAGAACGGACAGGCCACACACCAGCUGGGCUCUGAGAACCCCCAGCUUCUGCUCCACAGUGAGCCAGCAGGAAUCCAAAGGGCAUGGGCAGACCCCAGGGGCUCCUUCACCCCACCCAGGGGUAGAGAGGGCAAGACGGAGUAGAGCGAGCAGACAGAGAGUGUAAGAUCAGACAUACCAUAGAUGGAAAAGAAAAGCUAAAACUUCCUUGCACAUCUGAGAGGUAAGAGGAGGUGUCUGUGGCCCCCCUGACACAUACGUGACAUAUGUAUUAUUACGGCUCAUGUGUGUGCUGCUGUGUGCAGGGGGCAGGGGGCUUCCCGUUCCUGAUGGUUCUUCUUGGUGGGUGUCUCCCGGCCUCUCAGGCCUCUUUAUCUGCUGAACGUGGUAGCCAAGGGUUUGGGAAUGAUUUGCCAGACUGGUUAAUGUGGAAAGAGCUGGCCCCGCUCAGUUCUGCACCUCCCUCUUCCUCCCUGGAACCGUCUGGCUGCAGAGAGCAGGAGCUUUCCAGAGCUCCCGGGGGAUCCCAUCUCCAGUAUAACUGUGCAACGUGUGCCCAGCACAAGAGCACCAGAUGGAGGGACAGGUGGGAGGAGGAGGAACCCAGGGUGCAUUUAGCUUGGGGCUUGCUGAGCUGAGGUCCCCAGAGCAAGGA